UACGUAGGGGGCAAGCGUUGUCCGGAAUCAUUGGGCGUAAAGAGCGUGUAGGCGGCCUGAAAGGUCAGCUGUGAAAACUCGAGGCUCAACCUCGAGACGUCGGUUGAAACCAUCUGGCUAGAGUCCGGAAGAGGAGUGUGGAAUUCCCGGUGUAGCGGUGAAAUGCGCAGAUAUCGGGAAGAACACCCGUGGCGAAGGCGGCACUCUGGGACGGUACUGACGCUGAGACGCGAAAGCGUGGGGAGCGAACAGG
rnacentral:rRNA from 1 species